rnacentral:rRNA from 1 species
UACGUAGGGGGCAAGCGUUGUCCGGAAUCAUUGGGCGUAAAGCGCGUGUAGGCGGCUCGAUAAGUCUGCUGUGAAAGUCCAGGGCUCAACCCUGGGAUGCCGGUGGAUACUGUCGAGCUCGAGUCCGGAAGAGGAGUGUGGAAUUCCUGGUGUAGCGGUGAAAUGCGCAGAUAUCAGGAGGAACACCGGUGGCGAAGGCGGAUCUCUGGGCCUUACCUGACGCUCGAGGUGCGAAAGCUAGGGAGCGAACAGG